ensembl:misc_RNA Y_RNA Y RNA
GGCUGGUCCAUAUGCAGUGGUUUUACAAGUAAUUUAUCACAACCAGUUAGUUACAGAUUUCUUUGCUCCUUCUCCACUCCCACUGCUUCACUUGACUAGCCUUAA